AAUCAACGCUGGCGGCGUGCCUCAGACAUGCAAGUCGAACGAUUAAAGCUCUCUUCGGAGAGUGUAUAGAGUGGCGCACGGGUGAGUAACCCGUAAGUAAUCUACCUUUGAGUGGGGAAUAACAGUCGGAACGACUGCUAAUACCGCAUAAUGCAGCGGCAUCGCAAGAUGACAGUUGUUAAAGGAGCAAUCCGCUUAAAGAGGAGCUUGCGGCAGAUUAGCUAGUUGGUAAGGUAAUGGCUUACCAAGGCUACGAUCUGUAUCCGGUCUAAGAGGACGGUCGGACACACUGACACUGAAUAAC
rnacentral:rRNA from 1 species